UUUCCGUAGGUGAACCUGCGGAAGGAUCAUUAUUGUAUAACCGAGGUGCGAGGGCUGUCGCUGACUCGAAAGGUCGUGCACGCCCGAGUGCCCUCACACACAUCCAUCUCACCCCUAUGUGCACCACCGCGUGGGUCCCCCUUUGGCUUGUUCGGAGGGGGGCUUACGUUUUCACACAAACUUUGUAUGCAGUGUAGAAUGUAUUUUUUGUUUUUGCGAUCACGCAAUCAAUACAACUUUCAACAAUGGAUCUCUUGGCUCUC
rnacentral:misc_RNA from 1 species